UGGGGAAUAUUGGACAAUGGGCGCAAGCCUGAUCCAGCCAUGCCGCGUGAGUGACGAAGGCCUUAGGGUUGUAAAGCUCUUUUGGCGGGGAAGAUAAUGACGGUACCCGCAGAAUAAGCUCCGGCUAACUUCGUGCCAGCAGCCGCGGUAAUACGAAGGGAGCUAGCGUUGUUCGGAAUCACUGGGCGUAAAGCGCACGUAGGCGGAUGUGUCAGUCAGGGGUGAAAUCCCGGAGCUCAACUUCGGAACUGCCCUUGAUACAACACGUCUUGAGUCCGAGAGAGGUGAGUGGAAUUCCUAGUGUAGAGGUGAAAUUCGUAGAUAUUAGGAAGAACACCGGUGGCGAAGGCGGCUCACUGGCUCGGUACUGACGCUGAGGUGCGAAAGCGUGGGGAGCAAACAGG
rnacentral:rRNA from 1 species